AUGUCAACGAUGAUACUGGUGUCUUCUGCUGGUCGUGUGAAACAUACGGGCGAUAUUUGUCAAAAAGAUGUUUUUGCUGCUGCUAGUCUUCGAUCUCGGUGCAGAACUGCAGACCACUGUUGCCAUGAUCCAUCUCUAAUGGGUCAUGAGCCUCCCCGUUCACCACGGCACGGCAUGGAUGGUGGAUGCAUGCACCAGCACCACCAACGAAGACAACCAGCCCACCGAGCACGACGACGCGGCGGCCGGCCAUGGACAGUGCAUGCACCGAUGCACGCGAAGGCCCAUGCCAUUGCCACGCUACUGCGACCACACACGUAG
rnacentral:rRNA from 1 species